rnacentral:rRNA from 1 species
CAGCAGCCACGGGAACACGGAGGGGGCUAGCGUUGUUCGGAAUUACUGGGCGUAAAGCGCACGUAGGCGGCUUGAUAAGUUAGAGGUGAAAGCCUGGAGCUCAACUCCAGAAUUGCCUUUAAGACUGCCGAGCUAGCAGGUGAGAGAGGUAAGUGGAAUUCCGAGUGUAGAGGUGAAAUUCGUAGAUAUUCGGAAGAGCACCAGCGGCGAAGGCGGCUUACUGGCUCAUACUGGACGCUGAGGUGCGAAAGCGUGGGGAGCAAACAGGAUUAGAUACCCGCGUAGUCCCUGUCUCUUAUAC